AUGGACGGAAGUUAGAACCGCCAAGUAUCGUGCAGGAUGACGGCCCUAUGGGUUGUAAACUGCUUUUGUAUGGGGAUAAAGUUAGGGACGUGUCCCUAUUUGCAGGUACCAUACGAAUAAGGACCGGCUAAUUCCGUGCCAGCAGCCGCGGUAAUACGGAAGGUCCAGGCGUUAUCCGGAUUUAUUGGGUUUAAAGGGAGCGUAGGCUGGAUAUUAAGUGUGUUGUGAAAUGUAGACGCUCAACGUCUGACUUGCAGCGCAUACUGGUUUCCUUGAGUACGCACAACGUUGGCGGAAUUCGUCGUGUAGCGGUGAAAUGCUUAGAUAUGACGAAGAACUCCGAUUGCGAAGGCAGCUGACGGGAGCGCAACUGACGCUUAAGCUCGAAGGUGCGGGUAUCAAACAGGAUUAGAUACCCUGGUAGUCCGCACAGUAAACGAUGGAUGCCCGCUGUUGGUACCUGGUAUCAGCGGCUAAGCGAAAGCAUUAAGCAUCCCACCUGGGGAGUACGCCGGCAACGGUGAAACUCAAAGGAAUUGAGGGGGGCCCGCACAAGGCGGAGGAACAUGUGGUUUAAUUCGAUGAUACGCGAGGAAACC
rnacentral:rRNA from 1 species